rnacentral:rRNA from 1 species
UACAAAUCAUGUGAUGUGUUAUUAAAUGCAAAAUAAGCACGUCAAGUAACCAUGCCCCUUAUCGUUGAGCGGCACACGUGCUACAAUAGCCGGGACAAAGGGUCGCAAUCCCGCUGGGGUGUGCUAACUCUAAAAACCUGUCUUCAUUUUGAAUUGUAGGCUGCAACACGCCUACAUGAAGCCAGAAUCGCUAGUAACUACCAAUCAAUCACACAAUAGUGAAUUCGUUCC